UUGACCUCGGAUCAGGUAGGAAUACCCGCUGAACUUAAGCAUAUCAAGGGGGCGGAGGAAGG
rnacentral:rRNA from 1 species